rnacentral:rRNA from 1 species
GACGAACGCUGGCGGCGUGCUUAACACAUGCAAGUCGAACGGUGAAGCUCCAGCUUGCUGGAGUGGAUCAGUGGCGAACGGGUGAGUAACACGUGAGCAACCUGCCCCUGACUCUGGAAUAAGCGCUGGAAACGGCGUCUAAUACUGGAUACGAGAAGGGUUCGCAUGGGCACUUUCUGGAAAGUUUUUCGGUUGGGGAUGGGCUCGCGGCUUAUCAGCUUGUUGGUGAGGUAAUGGCUCACCAAGGCGACGACGGGUAGCCGGCCUGAGAGGGCGACCGGCCACACUGGGACUGAGACACGGCCCAGACUCCUACGGGAGGCAGCAGUGGGGAAUAUUGCACAAUGGGCGAAAGCCUGAUGCAGCGACGCCGCGUGAGGGAUGACGGCCUUCGGGUUGUAAACCUCUUUCAGCAGGGAAGAAGCGAAAGUGACGGUACCUGCAGAAGAAGCACCGGCUAACUACGUG